CCUACGGGGGGCAGCAGUGGGGAAUAUUGGACAAUGGGGGCAACCCUGAUCCAGCCAUGCCGCGUGUGUGAAGAAGGCCCUCGGGUUGUAAAGCACUUUCAGUGAGGAAGAACGCCUGGUGGUUAAUACCCAUCAGGAAAGACAUCACUUACAGAAGAAGCACCGGCUAACUCCGUGCCAGCGGCCGCGGUAAUACGGAGGGUGCGAGCGUUAAUCGGAAUUACUGGGCGUAAAGCGCGCGUAGGUGGCUUGAUAAGCCGGUUGUGAAAGCCCCGGGCUCAACCUGGGAACGGCAUCCGGAACUGUCAAGCUUGAGUGCAGGAGAGGAAGGUAGAAUUCCCGGUGUAGCGGUGAAAUGCGUAGAGAUCGGGAAGAAUACCAGUGGCGAAGGCGGCCUUCUGGACUGACACUGACACUGAGGUGCGAAAGCGUGGGUAGCAAACAGGAUUAGAUACCCUGGUAGUC
rnacentral:rRNA from 1 species